rnacentral:rRNA from 1 species
CCUACGGGUGGCUGCAGUGGGGAAUAUUGGACAAUGGGGGCAACCCUGAUCCAGCCAUGCCGCGUGUGUGAAGAAGGCCCUCGGGUUGUAAAGCACUUUCAGUGAGGAAGAACGCCUGGUGGUUAAUACCCAUCAGGAAAGACAUCACUCACAGAAGAAGCACCGGCUAACUCCGUGCCAGCAGCCGCGGUAAUACGGAGGGUGCGAGCGUUAAUCGGAAUUACUGGGCGUAAAGCGCGCGUAGGUGGCUUGAUAAGCCGGUUGUGAAAGCCCCGGGCUCAACCUGGGAACGGCAUCCGGAACUGUCAAGCUAGGGUGCAGGAGAGGAAGGUGGAAUUCCGGGGGUAGCGGGGAAAUGCGUAGGGAUCGGGAGGAAUACCGGUGGCAAAGGCGGCCUUCUGGACGGACACGGACCCUGGGGGGGGAAAGGGGGGUAGCAAACAGGAUUAGAUACCCGAGUAGU